GGCACCAUCCACUCGGCUCUGGAGCCAUGCCCUGCCUGGCUGAACAGCCCUGGAAGCUGUCAUCACGAGUGUGUGUGCGUGCUGGGAAAAUGCAAUGUCUCGAGGUUCACAAAGCAUCAUGAACAGAUGAACAUUUGAGCUGUAGGAAGGAAGAGAGUUUGAGAAAGAAAAAAAACAUGCUUUAGUUUUGAGCAAUGAUUUGGACUUUGAGAACAGACUUCCUGAUCAACGAAAAGCACCAGGAGACUAAGAAAAGGGAUAAGGAAGUAAGGCAGACGACUGUGUUCAGGCCAUUAUUUCUUUAGAGCCCCAUGGAGGCGACCAGCGGGAAGGACCUGUCUGCUAGGCUGCUGAGCCAUGAGAUUCUUCACCGUCAGCCUCCACGAUGAG